rnacentral:lncRNA from 1 species
ACCCGCCAGCCCCGCGCUCUACCAGGCAGAGCGCGUGUGGCCGCCGAGCACAUGGACCCACUGGUCAAGCGGGCUCGGCAAGGCCAGGAUGAAGAGAAGCUACGAACUUAGCAUUCCCAGAGCCCCCCGAGUGGAUAUCCGCGUGGAAAGGAUGUUGGCAGCCCCGGUGACCUCGGAGUCACGGCUGGAUCCACCCUCUUGUCUGAUUUUCUUAACUCUACUACGGUAAGAAGAUGCCCUCCAUCAGCAGGCCGUGUCUGCUGGGACCUCUCUGGAGACUUCCUGAACCCUGUGGAUUUACAGUAAGAUGCAGUUUCCUGGGGAGUAAUUCUGGUGGAUACAAAUUCCGGAGUAUUACACCUGGCUUGCCUGGAGAUGUUACAAGUAGCUGGAUGGAUUCUUCAGCCUGGAUGCCCACUGAAAACAAGGACCGAAACUAAGAGGAUUGUAUCUCUACCCUUGACUCAAUGAGAAUGUUUGUUGUCAUCUCUCGGGCUACCUGGAGCUCCCUCUAAAAUGGGCUGGGACACUGCCUGAUUGAGGUGGCCAUUGAGAAUUCAAGUGUACCUCUUGGUCCCUGAUGCAGAAAUGAAGUCCCCAGCAUGCUCAAGAAGAGCUUCCUUGGAGGAUGAGAGGCAUGGGAAUCUAAGUAUACCCUUUAAGCGUUCCAGAAGGAUUUUGAGAUCCUUUCCUAAAUCAAAGGUGGAAUAUUUGGGGAUUUGGAAAAUUGAGCCAGUCUCUCAGAAGAACCAGUUGUGUUACUUUGCUGUGAGAUGCCUGCCCUAAGAGAGGAGCAGAAGGUCGGAACGGGUCCUCUAAUGUGAUAAUUAGGGUACCUGGAGGCACAGCAGCCAUGUUGAACCUAUGAGGUGAUGAAAAACCAUGCAACUAGAAACCAGAAUGGAAGAAAAGAAGAAGCUGGAUCCUUGACUGAAUUGUCGAUGGGGGAUAGUCCAUCAUCCCAGGGCUAAGACCACCUCCAGAUUUCUUGUUUGGUGAAACAAGUCCUGAUUGUUUACAUUCCCUCGUGUUGAGCUGUCUCUUGCUUGUAGCUGAAAGCAUUUCUAAUAGAUAUUCAGAUUAUCAGCCUUAGCUCCAAGCUAGAAUACUCUAUGGGACCUUAGCUUCUCCAUGAAUUCCUUUGCUCAUCUGUGUAAUGCUCAAUAAAUGUAAAUUGAACCCUGAAUGAGGGACAAUGACA